rnacentral:rRNA from 1 species
CCUACGGGAGGCAGCAGUGAGGAAUAUUGGUCAAUGGGCGCGAGCCUGAACCAGCCAAGUCGCGUGAGGGAAGACGGUCCUAUGGAUUCUAAACCUCUUUUGUCGGGGAGCAAAAGACGCCACGCGUGGCGUUCCGAGAUUCCCCGAAGAAAAAGCAUCGGCUACCUCCGUGCCAGCAGCCGCGGUCAUACGGAGGAUGCGAGCGUGAUCCGGAUUUAUGGGGUUUAAGGGGUGCGUAGGCGGAAGAUCAAGUCAGCGGUAAAAUUGAGAGGCUCAACCUCCUCGAGCCGGUGAAACUGGUUUUCUUGAGUGAGCGAGAAGUAUGCGGAAUGCGUGGUGUAGCGGUGAAAUGCAUAGAUAUCACGCAGAACUCCGAUUGCGAAGGCAGCAUACCGGCGCUCAACUGACGCUCAUGCACGAAAGUGUGGGUAUCGAACAGGAUUAGAUACCCGGGUAGUC